AAUAGAUACCCUGGUAGUCCACGCCGUAAACGAUGAGUGCUAAGUGUUGGGGGGUUUCCGCCCCUCAGUGCUGCAGCUAACGCAUUAAGCACUCCGCCUGGGGAGUACGGUCGCAAGACUGAAACUCAAAGGAAUUGACGGGGGCCCGCACAAGCGGUGGAGCAUGUGGUUUAAUUCGAAGCAACGCGAAGAACCUUACCAGGUCUUGACAUCCCGGUGACCACUAUGGAGACAUAGUUUCCCCUUCGGGGGCAACGGUGACAGGUGGUGCAUGGUUGUCGUCAGCUCGUGUCGUGAGAUGUUGGGUUAAGUCCCGUAACGAGCGCAACCCUUAUUCUUAGUUGCCAUCAUUCAGUUGGGCACUCUAAGGAGACUGCCGGUGAUAAACCGGAGGAAGGUGGGGAUGACGUCAAAUCAUCAUGCCCCUUAUGACCUGGGCUACACAUGUGCUACAAUGGACGGUACAAACGGUUGCCAACCCGCGAGGGGGAGCCAAUCCGAUAAAACCGUUCUCAGUUCGGAUUGUAGGCUGCAACUCGCCUAC
rnacentral:rRNA from 1 species